rnacentral:rRNA from 1 species
UGAGGAAUAUUGGCCAAUGGGCGCAAGCCUGAUUCAGCCAUGCCGCGUGCAGGAAGAAGCAUCUAUGGUGUGUAAACUGCUUUUGUACGGGAAGAAACACUCCUUCGUGAAGGAGCUUGACGGUACCGUAAGAAUAAGGAUCGGCUAACUCCUUGCCAGCAGCCGCGGUAAUACGGAGGAUCCAAGCGUUAUCCGGAAUCAUUGGGUUUAAAGGGUCCGUAGGCGGUUUAGUAAGUCAGUGGUGAAAGCCCAUCGCUCAACGAUGGAACGGCCAUUGAUACUGCUAGACUUGAAUUAGUAGAGAGUAACUAGAAUAUGUAGGGUAGCGGUGAAAUGCUUAGAUAUUACAUGGAAAACCAAUUGCGAAGGCAGGUUACUGCUAAUGGAUUGACGCUGGUGGACGAAAGCGUGGGGAGCGAAC